rnacentral:rRNA from 1 species
UCGGGAAUUUUGGGCAAUGGGUGAAAGCCUGACCCAGCAACGCCGCGUGAAGGAUGAAGUAUUUCGGUAUGUAAACUUCGUAAGAAUAGGAAGAAUAAAUGACGGUACUAUUUAUAAGGCCCGGCUAACUACGUGCCAGCAGCCGCGGUAAUACGUAGGGACCAAGCGUUGUUCGGAUUUACUGGGCGUAAAGGGCGCGUAGGCGGCAUGACAAGUCACUUGUGAAAUCUCUGGGCUUAACCCAGAACGGCCAAGUGAUACUGUCGCGCUAGAGUGCAGAAGGGGCAAUCGGAAUUCUUGGUGUAGCGGUGAAAUGCGUAGAUAUCAAGAGGAACACCUGAGGUGAAGACGGGUUGCUGGGCUGACACUGACGCUGAGGCGCGAAAGCCAGGGGAGCAAACGGGAUUAGAUACCCUCGUAGUCCCUGAGCGGGCUGGCAAGGCGCAU